UACGUAGGGUGCGAGCGUUAAUCGGAAUUACUGGGCGUAAAGCGUGCGCAGGCGGUUCGUUAAGUUCGUUGUGAAAGCCCCGGGCUCAACCUGGGAACUGCAUCCGAGACUGAAUAGCUAGGGUACGGUAGAGGGAAGUGGAAUUUCCGGUGUAGCGGUGAAAUGCGUAGAUAUCGGAAGGAACAUCAGUGGCGAAAGCGACUUCCUGGACCAGUACCGACGUUCAGGCACGAAAGCGUCGGGAGCAAACAGG
rnacentral:rRNA from 1 species